UACGGAGGGGGCUAGCGUUGUCCGGAUUUAUUGGGCGUAAAGAGCGUGUAGGCGGCCAAGCAGGUCCGCUGUGAAAACUCGAGGCUCAACCUCGAGACGUCGGUGGAAACCGUUUGGCUAGAGUCCGGAAGAGGAGAGUGGAAUUCCAGGUGUAGCGGUGAAAUUCGUAGAUAUUCGCAAGAACACCAGUGGCGAAGGCGGCUCACUGGCCCGGUACUGACGCUGAGGUGCGAAAGCGUGGGGAGCAAACAGG
rnacentral:rRNA from 1 species